AUUGAACGCUGGCGGCAUGCCUUACACAUGCAAGUCGAACGGCAGCACGGGAGCAAUCCUGGUGGCGAGUGGCGAACGGGUGAGUAAUAUAUCGGAACGUGCCCAGUAGUGGGGGAUAACUGCUCGAAAGAGCAGCUAAUACCGCAUACGACCUGAGGGUGACAGGGGGGGAUCGCCAGACCUCUCGCUAUUGGAGCGGCCGAUAUCAGAUUAGCGAGUUGGUGGGGUAAAGGCCUACCAAGGCAACGAUCUGUAGUUGGUCUGAGAGGACGACCAGCCACACUGGGACUGAGACACGGCCCAGACUCCUACGGGAGGCAGCAGUGGGGAAUGUUGGACAAUGGGCGCAAGCCUGAUCCAGCAAUGCCGCGUGCAGGAAGAAGGCCUUCGGGUUGUAAACUGCUUUUGUCAGGGAAGAAAUCCUCUAGGCUAAUACCCUUGGGGGGAUGACGGUACCUGAAGAAUAAGCACCGGCUAACUACGUGCCAGCCGCCGCCGUAACAC
rnacentral:rRNA from 1 species